AAACAGAUGCAGCAAUCGGUUGUGGAAUGUGCGUGGAGUGGUUCUUGAAGCUCGAAAAUCUCCGAAUUGAACAAGUUCUUGGACUGUUAUAGGAGAUGCAGGUGGAUUCUACAGUUGCGAUUUGUGGAUGAUUCUUGAGUUUUACCUGCAAACAGAAACUCCAAAACACCUAACAAUGAUGAACAUGCAGAGAAUUAUCACCAAGAUCCAUGGAAAUUGCUCAAUUGAUGCAAAGAGUAUAUUGAAGUUUUUGAGCAAAA
rnacentral:lncRNA from 1 species